GCAGUCGAACGAAGUAGCAAUACUUAGUGGCAGACGGGUGAGUAACAUGUAGGUAUCUGCCCUUUGGCCUGGAAUAACACGAGGAAACUUGUGCUAAUACCGGAUAAGUCUUUACGGAGAAAGCUUUAUGCACCAUUGGAUGAGCCUGCACUUGAUUAGUUUGUUGGUGGGGUAAUGGCCUACCAAGACUGUGAUCAAUAGCUGAUUUGAGAGGAUGAUCAGCCACAUUGGGACUGAGACACGGCCCAAACUCCUACGGGAGGCAGCAGUGGGGAAUCUUGCACAAUGGAGGAAACUCUGAUGCAGCGAUGCCGCGUGAGUGAAGAAGGCCCUUGGGUUGUAAAGCUCUUUCGUCGGGGAAGAAAAUGACUGUACCCGAAUAAGAAGGUCCGGCUAACUUCGUGCCAGCAGCCGCGGUAAUACGAAGGGACCUAGCGUAGUUCGGAAUUACUGGGCUUAAAGAGUUCGUAGGUGGUUGAAAAAGUUAGUGGUGAAAUCCCAGAGCUUAACUCUGGAACUGCCAUUAAAACUUUUCAGCUAGAGUAUGAUAGAGGAAAGCAGAAUUUCUAGUGUAGAGGUGAAAUUCGUAGAUAUUAGAAAGAAUACCAAUUGCGAAGGCAGCUUUCUGGAUCAUUACUGACACUGAGGAACGAAAGCAUGGGUAGCGAAGAGGAUUAGAUACCCUCGUAGUCCAUGCCGUAACGAUGUGUGUUAGACGUUGGAAAUUUAUUUUCAGUGUCGCAGGGAAACCGAUAAACACACCGCCUGGGGAGUACGACCGCAAGGUUAAAACUCAAAUGAAUUGACGGGGACCCGCACAAGUAGUGGAGCAUGUGGUUUAAUUCGAAGAUACGCGCAGAACCUUACCAACACUUGACAUGUUCGUCGCGACUCUAAGAGAUUAGAGUUUUCGGUUCGGCCGGACGAAACACAGGUGCUGCAUGGCUGUCGUCAGCUCGUGUCGUGAGAUGUUGGGUUAAGUCCCGCAACGAGCGCAACCCUCACUUUUAGUUGCCAUCAUUAAGUUGGGCACUCUGAAAGAACUGCCAGUG
rnacentral:rRNA from 1 species